rnacentral:lncRNA from 1 species
CACACACAGAGCCCCCAACACAUACACCAGAGCCUCCAACACACAUACCACAGCCCUCCACGCACACACCAGAGCCCCCAAUACACACACACUGAGCUCCCAACACAUACACCAGAGCCCCCAACAUACACACCAGAGCCCCCAACACACACACCAGAGCCCCCAACACACACACCACAGCCAACACACACACACCAGAGCCUCCAACACAUAUACACACACGAGAGCCCCCAACACUCAUACACACCAGAGCCUCCAACACAUACACACCAGAGCCCCCAACAGACACACACACACACCAGAGCCCCCAACACACACACCAGAGCCAACACACAUACACCAGAGCCCUUCAACACACACAGAGCCAACACAUACACCAGAGCCUCCAACACAUACACACCAGAGCCCCCAACACACACACACACACACACACACACACACACCAGAGCCAACACACACACACCAGAGCCCUUCAACACACACAGAGCCAACACAUACACCAGAGCCUCCAACACACACACGAGCCCCCAACAUACACACCAGAGCCCCCCAACAC